rnacentral:rRNA from 1 species
UUGCUCAAUGGGGGAAACCCUGAAGCAGCAACGCCGCGUGGAGGAUGAAGGUUUUAGGAUUGUAAACUCCUUUUGUUAGAGAAGAUAAUGACGGUAUCUAACGAAUAAGCACCGGCUAACUCCGUGCCAGCAGCCGCGGUAAUACGGAGGGUGCAAGCGUUACUCGGAAUCACUGGGCGUAAAGAGCGCGUAGGCGGGAUAGUCAGUCAGGUGUGAAAUCCUAUGGCUUAACCAUAGAACUGCAUUUGAAACUACUAUUCUAGAGUGUGGGAGAGGUAGGUGGAAUUCUUGGUGUAGGGGUAAAAUCCGUAGAGAUCAAGAGGAAUACUCAUUGCGAAGGCGACCUGCUGGAACAUUACCUGACGCUGAUUGCCA